rnacentral:rRNA from 1 species
UACGGGGGGGGCAAGCGUUGUUCGGAAUUACUGGGCGUAAAGGGCGCGUAGGCGGCCUGCUAAGUCGGAUGUGAAAUCCCUCGGCUCAACCGAGGAACUGCAUCCGAUACUGGCGGGCUUGAAUCCGGGAGAGGGAUGUGGAAUUCCAGGUGUAGCGGUGAAAUGCGUAGAUAUCUGGAGGAACACCGGUGGCGAAGGCGGCCCUCUGGACGGAUACUGACGCUGAUACGCGAAAGCGUGGGGAGCAAACAGG